CUCCUCACUCCAAUCCCGAGCCUCCCCCAAUCCCCGCUUCCUCUCAGGAUCGACCCCGAGCCUCCACCGCGCCUCCUCCUCCGCCACCCCGAGCAGCUGCCGUCCCGCCUCUCCUCCUCGACCUACGCAUCUCCGGCGUGUUGCUCCACCGCCGUGGCGCCUCCUGUGCGAUUCCGAGCAGCCACCGUCGCGCCUCUCACGCUCAAUCUACCCUGCGCCGGAGUUGGAGGAGCAGCAAGGGGCGGCGCUGGGACGGAGGUGGAGGAGCACGGAUUCGGCGCCAGCAGACUCCUCUACGAGUAAGGUCCUCCUCUUCCUUCUUUCUAUCCUCCACGGAUCGGGGCACACAUGAGAUGGCGCGGUCUGCAUGACUCCAUGAGAUCCAUGGAUGGCGGUUCUUCGGCCGGCGCGGGGAUGCGCGAUGGCUGCCGGUGCUCGAGAUCUGGCGGAUGGAGGGCUGCAGCGGCGGCGGGAUCGAGCUCUGGUCUCCAGCUUGCCCAUCCCCCACGUUUCCCUCUCCUCUUCCUCUCUGCUGUUGGCCACGCUGGCCAUGGCCCUCAAAUCCGACGCCUGCAUCUGCGAUGCUAGCAGCAGAUCUGGUUGGGAAAGCGUAAGGAGAUAAACAGCAAGAGAUUGUCUUAGCACACGGAUUCAUGAGUGCUGCAAAUUUAUAUAUAGUGCUUUGUACUGAUGUUUAAAGUUUAUUUAUACAAGUAUUGGAAAGAGGAAUACAAUAUUGCAUUUCUAAAGAAAUCAUCAUGUAGAUAUGUUUUUGUACUUUACUCAGCGAAAAUUGCAGCCAGUUAUUUUGAUAAUAUAUCUCAGUUUGUGUGUCCUUACUAUUCCUUAUUUAUGAAUUUGAGAAGAUUAAUUUCCACCUAUUGGUGGUGAAGGUCAAGCUGCUCACUUUCUUCUUGGAUGUGGACCAGUCUCCUCUGGUAUAGCAGAUCUCACAAAGGAUCUUCAUCAUCAGGACAACUCCAUGUUCCAGUCAGAAGGAUUCUAAUGGUUGUGCUGGGUGUUUGUAACGGUGAGGUUGAGCAUAUCGAUUUGUAUAAUGCACAGACCGCGAAUAAUGGUGUUGUGGUGACUGAUACACUCACACAGUUUCCUGAAGAGGUUGUCCUACUUCAGGGUAGUGAGCUGCAGCAUGUUGACGCUCAGAUGGCGCUGGAGGUUAUUCAGGCACCAUCCACAAAUUAAGUAAGCUAUAGCUCUCUUCACCGUAAUUUUGUCAAGGGGUCCACAAUGAAAUGGACAAUUACGCCAAGAUAGGCACAUAAGAAGGUGGGGUUUGGGGUAUGCUUGACUAUACCUUUGUAUCAAUUGUUCUGUUGCACUUUUAUUCUUCUAAAAAA